UACGGGGGGGGCAAGCGUUGUUCGGAAUUACUGGGCGUAAAGGGCUCGUAGGCGGCCAACUAAGUCAGACGUGAAAUCCCUCGGCUUAACCGGGGAACUGCGUCUGAUACUGGAUGGCUAGAGGUUGGGAGAGGGAUGCGGAAUUCCAGGUGUAGCGGUGAAAUGCGUAGAUAUCUGGAGGAACACCGGUGGCGAAGGCGGCAUCCUGGACAGACACCGACGCUGAGGCACGAAAGCUAGGGGAGCAAACAGG
rnacentral:rRNA from 1 species